AGCAAUAUACAUAAAUACGUUAUUAAGCUGGUGAUCGUGAACUCCAUCACAACGUGUUUGUUAUGCAUGCCAGAUGGACGACUGGUAUGCAUCCCCACCCCUAUAAAAAGGUGCCACGCUACUGAGCUCCUCAAGCUUCUUCACCCACUCAUAGUCCAAUAGCUCCUCAUCAAAGCUUCUAUCUGGUCCUUGAAAAAAUUUCCAUACAUGGAAGGCAAAGGGCUUAAGAGUUUCGUUAUCAUUGUGCUCGUCCUGGGUCUAGUUCUUGAACAGACCCACCAGGUGGGAGCUGAACACCCCUGGUGUUGCGAAACUACCCAAGGGAAAAAGUUCUUCAAUGACUGCGUUAAAAAGGGAUUCGAGAUUGGCUUUUGUGCAAGCGGCUCAGGUUGCAUCCUUCAGGUUGACCAUGACAACUGCUUUGGCCGGUGGUCGGUGCCUGCUGGUGAUGAAAAUACCGUGGAUGUCUUAUAAGCAAGUGUGCGCACGCGAUCGAGGGGAUUUCACUCAGAAGUGAAGGUCAAACUGUUCUUGUGUUUGCUACUGAAAGGCCAAUAAUUGUUUGUCAUAUAUUACGACCUCCGUUUUUGUACGUUUGAUGUUAGGACAUCUUGCUUAGUUCAUUUUUGAACUAAACAACAUCCUCUUAAUGUCAAAUACAAAACCGGAGUACGUACGUAUGUCCAAGAUAUAUAGUGUGCCAUGUCAUUUUCAUUCUGCUUCUUUGCGUUCUUGUUUCUUUUCUACCAAUAAGGCCUUUCAUUAUGAUGUUACCUAUUAUACCUUCAAAGUUUGCUCAGCUCAUCGAGUUGUACUGUACCUUUGGAUAAUAAGUAAAGUCGUCACCGAUUGCACCA